rnacentral:rRNA from 1 species
UACGUAGGGGGCAAGCGUUGUCCGGAAUCAUUGGGCGUAAAGAGCUCGUAGGCGGCUCGGUAAGUCGGGUGUGAAAUCCCCAGGCUCAACCUGGGGACGCCACCCGAUACUGCCGUGACUAGAGUCCAGUAGGGGAGCGUGGAAUUCCUGGUGUAGCGGUGAAAUGCGCAGAUAUCAGGAGGAACACCAGCGGCGAAGGCGGCGCUCUGGGCUGGCACUGACACUGAGGAGCGAAAGCGUGGGGAGCGAACAGG